rnacentral:tRNA from 1 species
GGUCCGGUAGCUCAGUUGGAUAGAGCAACAGCCUUCUAAGCUGUGGGUCAGGGGUUCGAAUCCCUUCCGGAUCA